GCCUAAUACAUGCAAGUCGAGCGAGCUUGCCUAGAUGAAUUUGGUGCUUGCACCAAAUGAAACUAGAUACAAGCGAGCGGCGGACGGGUGAGUAACACGUGGGUAACCUGCCCAAGAGACUGGGAUAACACCUGGAAACAGAUGCUAAUACCGGAUAACAACACUAGACGCAUGUCUAGAGUUUAAAAGAUGGUUCUGCUAUCACUCUUGGAUGGACCUGCGGUGCAUUAGCUAGUUGGUAAGGCAACGGCUUACCAAGGCAAUGAUGCAUAGCCGAGUUGAGAGACUGAUCGGCCACAUUGGGACUGAGACACGGCCCAAACUCCUACGGGAGGCAGCAGUAGGGAAUCUUCCACAAUGGACGCAAGUCUGAUGGAGCAACGCCGCGUGAGUGAAGAAGGGUUUCGGCUCGUAAAGCUCUGUUGGUAGUGAAGAAAGAUAGAGGUAGUAACUGGCCUUUAUUUGACGGUAAUUACUUAGAAAGUCACGGCUAACUACGUGCCAGCAGCCGCGGUAAUACGUAGGUGGCAAGCGUUGUCCGGAUUUAUUGGGCGUAAAGCGAGUGCAGGC
rnacentral:rRNA from 1 species